CAAGUCGAACGGCAGCACAGUAAGAGCUUGCUCUUAUGGGUGGCGAGUGGCGGACGGGUGAGGAAUACAUCGGAAUCUACCUUUUCGUGGGGGAUAACGUAGGGAAACUUACGCUAAUACCGCAUACGACCUUCGGGUGAAAGCAGGGGACCUUCGGGCCUUGCGCGGAUAGAUGAGCCGAUGUCGGAUUAGCUAGUUGGCGGGGUAAAGGCCCACCAAGGCGACGAUCCGUAGCUGGUCUGAGAGGAUGAUCAGCCACACUGGAACUGAGACACGGUCCAGACUCCUACGGGAGGCAGCAGUGGGGAAUAUUGGACAAUGGGCGCAAGCCUGAUCCAGCCAUACCGCGUGGGUGAAGAAGGCCUUCGGGUUGUAAAGCCCUUUUGUUGGGAAAGAAAAGCAAUCGGCUAAUACCCGGUUGUUCUGACGGUACCCAAAGAAUAAGCACCGGCUAACUUCGUGCCAGCAGCCGCGGUAAUACGAAGGGUGCAAGCGUUACUCGGAAUUACUGGGCGUAAAGCGUGCGUAGGUGGUUGUUUAAGUCUGUUGUGAAAGCCCUGGGCUCAACCUGGGAAUUGCAGUGGAUACUGGGCGACUAGAGUGUGGUAGAGGGUAGUGGAAUUCCCGGUGUAGCAGUGAAAUGCGUAGAGAUCGGGAGGAACAUCCAUGGCGAAGGCAGCUACCUGGACCAACACUGACACUGAGGCACGAAAGCGUGGGGAGCAAACAGGACUAGAUACCCUGGUAGUCCACGCCCUAAACGAUGCGAACUGGAUGUUGGGUGCAAUUUGGCACGCAGUAUCGAAGCUAACGCGUUAAGUUCGCCGCCUGGGGAGUACGGUCGCAAGACUGAAACUCAAAGGAAUUGACGG
rnacentral:rRNA from 1 species